rnacentral:lncRNA from 1 species
UCCUGUCCCUGGAGAGCUCCCUCUUCCAGACCCUGCCAUCAAUGAGGGCCACUCGAAGAUGGACAGUGAUGGCACAGGCCUGGCCCUCUCCUUGCCUCCAGCUGGGAUCAUCGAGUAAGCCAUGGCUCAGGAGUUGUGGUCCCGCUGCUCACCCAGCAGGAGCAAACCUGCUCACACCACGGUGCAUCUCCAGGAACUCCUGUGGCCUUCUUCUCCUGGUUCGAUAAGCUGGACUACCUCCGUAAGCUUUGCUGUCUCUUGGGCCAGCCACACAGCUGCCAGUGACAUGCAGAGACCACUGGAGACCUUAAGAUGUGGACUGCUGGGCACCAAUAUUACCCAUCUGUCCUACAGACUUCACACUGCCCACCUGCAGAACGUGGGCGUGGGCAGCAACAGCCUGCUCCACGUGAUGCCUGCGCCCUGGAGACUGCUGGGUGGGGGUGGUCUUGAGCUCCUGCUGCCACCUGAGUUCCUGCUGCCAGCCCUGUGCUGCUGCCCCCACCCCGGGGUGGUCAUCUCCCACGACCUCCUAAACUGCCCCUCCUACAGAUAAGACGGUGUGUGGCAGUGCUCGAGCUGAAGAAUGUUGAAGUAUCCUAUCCUUGUUGAAUGCUCUGGAUAUGUGGAUGACCACCCUGGAUUAACGCUGCUUUAGAAGCCAAACCAUGGCUAAGCUAAGCUGGACAGCAUUGGAUCAGGUGGGGGAGGGGAGACCCACAAACUGCGUAGCGCUGAGGGCUGAAAGCUGUGCAGAGCUCCACCGUGCAAUAGUGCGCGCACAGCCAGCCAGCGGAAGUGCCGUGGUUCAGUGUCCUUACUUGCACGUGUCUGGGUAGCUUCUAGUCGCUGGCCGAGACUCCAGCUCCUUGUUGCAGGAGGUGUUCUGGCAUGAUGGGAGAGGCAGGGCCCAGCUGAUCUGACUUGUAAAGAAUAUUUUAACUUUCAAAAUAAAGGAUGAUCUCAAGCUCGUCUCUGUCUUACA